GAUGAAGAACGUAGCGAAAUGCGAUAAGUAAUGUGAAUUGCAGAAUUCCGUGAAUCAUCGAAUCUUUGAACGCACAUUGCGCCCCCUGGCAUUCCGGGGGGCAUGCCUGUCCGAGCGUCAUUUCUGCCCUCAAGCACGGCUUGUGUGUUGGGUGUGGUCCCCCCGGGGACCUGCCCGAAAGGCAGCGGCGACGUCCGUCUGGUCCUCGAGCGUAUGGGGCUCUGUCACUCGCUCGGGAAGGACCUGCGGGGGUUGGUCACCACCAUGUUUUACCGCGGUUGACCUCGGAUCAGGUAGGAGUUACCCGCUGAACUUAAGCAUAUCAAUAAGCGGAGGA
rnacentral:misc_RNA from 1 species